AAACCAUGGUGGGGACAAAGUCUAAGCAUUUCCUUGAAACGCUCCCACGUAUCAGAGAGAGACUGUAACGCCCACUUUUAAUUAAUUAGUUAUUUAAUUGAGUCU